rnacentral:rRNA from 1 species
UACGGAGGGUGCGAGCGUUGUCCGGAAUCACUGGGCGUAAAGGGCGCGUAGGCGGCGCGGAUAGUCGGCGGUGAAAGCCCGGAGCUCAACUCCGGGUCGGCCGUCGAUACUUCCGGGCUUGAGCACUGUAGAGGCAGAUGGAAUUCCGGGUGUAGCGGUGGAAUGCGUAGAGAUCCGGAAGAACACCGGUGGCGAAGGCGGGUCUCUGGGCUGUAACUGACGCUGAGGAGCGAAAGCGUGGGGAGCGAACAGG